GGAUGUGAGAGGAAAUCUGACUGUAACAUCUGUGUCUCCUCCUGGCCUCCACCCCCAAAUCACAUGGGGUGAUUUCACAGAUCUGGCUAGUUAGUCCCUUUCUUCCUCACCACUCCAUGUGUGUCACUUAACCAAAGAGUACCUUAUGCAAAAAGAACAUCAUUCUUCAUCCAAGGGUAUACAAGUAGGGCUGGUCCCCUGCUACAACCUUCAAAAAAACUCUGAAAGUAUUGGGAGGGGGGGGAUCCAGACUUUUUUUACUUUGUAAAAUUAUCCUUA
ensembl:misc_RNA 7SK 7SK RNA